rfam:Oryza nivara chromosome 1, whole genome shotgun sequence.
ACUCAGCGCAGAUGUGGGUUUCAGUGUCCAACUUUGACUAUCUGUCUUAUUUUAAAAAUUUCUAUUAUUACUAUUUUUAUUGUUAUUUGAUAAUAAAAUAUAAAGAGUACUUUAUGUGUGACUUAAUUUUUUUUUAAAAUUUCAUAAAUUUUUCAAAUAAGACGGACGGUCAAACGUUAGACAUGAAAACUUAUGGCUGCACUGAAA